rnacentral:rRNA from 1 species
GAUGAACGCUGGCGGCGUGCCUAAUACAUGCAAGUCGAGCGAACAGACGAGGAGCUUGCUCCUCUGACGUUAGCGGCGGACGGGUGAGUAACACGUGGAUAACCUACCUAUAAGACUGGGAUAACUUCGGGAAACCGGAGCUAAUACCGGAUAAUAUAUUGAACCGCAUGGUUCCAUAGUGAAAUACGGUUUUGCUGUCACUUAUAGAUGGAUCCGCGCCGCAUUAGCUAGUUGGUAAGGUAACGGCUUACCAACGCAACGAUGCGUAGCCGACCUGAGAGGGUGAUCGGCCACACUGGAACUGAGACACGGUCCAGACUCCUACGGGAGGCAGCAGUAGGGAAUCUUCCGCAAUGGGGGAAAGCCUGACGGAGCAACGCGGCGUGAGUGAUGAAGGUCUUCGGAUCGUAAAGCUCUGUUAUUAGGGAAGAAGAAAUGUGUAAGUAACUAUGCACGUAUUGACGGUACCUAAUCAGAAAGCCACGGCUAACUACGUG